UAGGGAAUCUUCGGCAAUGGACGAAAGUCUGACCGAGCAACGCCGCGUGAGUGAAGAAGGUUUUCGGAUCGUAAAACUCUUGUUGUUAGAGAAGAACAAGGGUGAGAGUAACUGUUCACCCCUUGACGGUAUCUAACCAGAAAGCCACGGCUAACUACGUGCUAG
rnacentral:rRNA from 1 species